UUGAACGCUGGCGGCAGGCCUAACACAUGCAAGUCGAGCGGAUGAAGGGAGCUUGCUCCUGGAUUCAGCGGCGGACGGGUGAGUAAUGCCUAGGAAUCUGCCUGGUAGUGGGGGAUAACGUCCGGAAACGGGCGCUAAUACCGCAUACGUCCUGAGGGAGAAAGUGGGGGAUCUUCGGACCUCACGCUAUCAGAUGAGCCUAGGUCGGAUUAGCUAGUUGGUGGGGUAAAGGCCUACCAAGGCGACGAUCCGUAACUGGUCUGAGAGGAUGAUCAGUCACACUGGAACUGAGACACGGUCCAGACUCCUACGGGAGGCAGCAGUGGGGAAUAUUGGACAAUGGGCGAAAGCCUGAUCCAGCCAUGCCGCGUGUGUGAGGAAGGUCUUCGGAUUGUAAAGCACUUUAAGUUGGGAGGAAGGGCAGUAAGUUAAUACCUUGCUGUUUUGACGUUACCAACAGAAUAAGCACCGGCUAACUUCGUG
rnacentral:rRNA from 1 species